GACGAACGCUGGCGGCGUGCUUAACACAUGCAAGUCGAACGGAAAGGCCCCCACCUUGGUGGGGGUGCUCGAGUGGCGAACGGGUGAGUAACACGUGGGUGAUCUGCCCUGUACUUCGGGAUAAGCUUGGGAAACUGGGUCUAAUACCGGAUAGGACCAUGGUUUAGUGUCUCAUGGUGGAAAAAUUAUUGUUUUGGUGCAGGAUGAGCUCGCGGCCUAUCAGCUUGUUGGUGGGGUAAUGGCCUACCAAGGCGUCGACGGGUAGCCGGCCUGAGAGGGUGGACGGCCACAUUGGGACUGAGAUACGGCCCAGACUCCUACGGGAGGCAGCAGUGGGGAAUAUUGCACAAUGGGCGCAAGCCUGAUGCAGCGACGCCGCGUGGGGGAUGACGGCCGUCGGGUUGUAAACUCCUUUCGUUAGGGACGAAGCCACACCUUUUUUGGGUGUGGUGACGGUACCUUUGUUAAGAAGCACCGGCUAACUACGUG
rnacentral:rRNA from 1 species